GAGGACGGCACAGGGAGCUUUUGUUUGGGCAGGCAACAGAGAGAGGUGAUUUGAGUUUGCUGGAAUGAGUUUCCUUCAGAGCAUUUUGCAUACGAUGCUCUUUUCCCUCAAUGAGAGAUCAGGAGCUGAACCAGUUAAAACAAGUACAUCAAAACAAUUUGAACGAAUCCAUUAUUUUUUACUUAUUUCUGGCCAUUAGUCAUCCUCCUUCUGCUGUUUUAAGCAAAUGAAAUGUGCUGCCCUGAAACUUUCAGACCUACUGUGUAAUUUUUCCCUCUCAGUAGGUAAUUUAGUCAGUAAGUCUUUGAUCAUGCUCCAAAUCAUUCCCUAAGUGUUGGUGCACUCGGAUCUGCUACUCCGUUACUGAGAAAAUUUCUCCUUGAGAAAAUGUCAUUGCCGGGAAUUCCAGGCUCCUGGACUCUCCUGGGUUCCCCAGUUGGUUUAAGGAUGUUGAGAGGAGAAAGGCUGCACCUGCCCAGGGUGGAGGUGAUGCGGUUGUCAUUCAUCCGGAAGGAAUGUCAGAGGAUGAGCAGUCGCUGCAAGCCCAGAGCAAGAGGCAGGAGAACACUUUACCAACGCUGUAAACCUGGGAGUAAAGUCUUGGCUGAAUUUGUGUCUGGCACCAUGCUGCUGUCAAGGUAAAAACUCUCCUCUGAGAUCAGGGAGUUCUGCCUCUGUCAGGGCAAUCAAUGCAACUCUGGUCCCUUUAGUGAGAAAUCUGAGCCAUUUUCCUGUGGUUGAGUGAACAGGGAUGUCUCCAACAGCUUUUCAUCACCUCCUCUCCGUCCCUCUGCUCCACUGCUCCUGUCCAGAAUCCACCUCGGAAUCCUUCUUCUGAUGCAGCUUCUCAGGCUGAAAUAUUUGGAUGUUCCUCUGUGUUUUGUUUGCAAAAAUAACCAUAUUUGUAAAACA